AUUGAACGCUGGCGGCAUGCUUUACACAUGCAAGUCGAACGGCAGCGCGGGCUUCGGCCUGGCGGCGAGUGGCGAACGGGUGAGUAAUGCAUCGGAACGUGCCCAGUAGUGGGGGAUAGCCCGGCGAAAGCCGGAUUAAUACCGCAUACGACCUGAGGGUGAAAGCGGGGGGCCGAAAGGCCUCGCGCUAUUGGAGCGGCCGAUGUCGGAUUAGCUAGUUGGUGGGGUAAAGGCUUACCAAGGCGACGAUCCGUAGCUGGUCUGAGAGGACGACCAGCCACACUGGGACUGAGACACGGCCCAGACUCCUACGGGAGGCAGCAGUGGGGAAUUUUGGACAAAGGGGGCAACCCUGAUCCAGCCAUGCCGCGUGCGGGAAGAAGGCCUUCGGGUUGUAAACCGCUUUUGUUCGGGAAGAAAUCCUCUGGGCUAAUACCCCGGGGGGAUGACGGUACCGGAAGAAUAAGCACCGGCUAACUACGUG
rnacentral:rRNA from 1 species